GCCGGGUCUCCCCGGGGACGGACGGGCCCUGGGAGCCGGGAACGAGGAAGAGGCGGGAGGCGGAAGUGGGGGAGGGGCGGCGGCGGGCACACGCUCUCGUCUCUCGCCCGGCGGCAGGAGGGAUCCCCUUCUGAGAUACUAUACUGAGAUACAGACAGGUGAAGGCACUUGUCCAAGGCCGUAAAGCGAGCGAGUGAUGGAGCUGGAAUUCAACCCAGCUAGGCUGCUUCAGAGACUGUGCUUAUAAGCACUACUCCCAGCUUGCUCCCCUUUUAUCCUGUUGCAGUUUUCAUCUUCCAGGAGACAUUUUGGACAGUUUGAUUCUUAUUCCUCAUUAAUGGAUGGAGCAGAUACUUGGUCCCAUUUCCUAGCACAGAGGAAUGAGGAGAGCUGAGGUUGCAGAGCCACCAGUUAACCUGCAUUCCAAAGAAGAAGGAGCCUCCAAGAAGGAAUGGGAUGCAGGCACUGGCACACUGUGAAGCGAGAGGAAGACGAUGUCUCCAUGCAAGCGGUGAACAAAAACAGAAAAUUCAUUCCCAGCAGAUCAGCGCUACAAGAACUAGAAAAGAAGUUCUGGAGGCAGAAAGAAUAUGAUAUUAGAGAGAAUUUCGGAUCUACCUAAAGAAAUGAAGACCUCUGGAAAUGGACAGAAAAAGGAUUUAAAAAAAAAGACCACAGCUUCCAUCUUGGGUGUGUGUUCUCUCUAUCGCUUGGAUCACUCACUGGGAGAGGCAAGCUAUUAUGUUGUCAACAGCCCUACAGAGAGGCCUACGUGGCAAGGCACUGAAGAUUCCAGCCAACAUCUAGAGAAGAGAGGCCUGCCAGCAGUCACAUGAGACAGCAUGGAAGCAGAUUCGCCGGCCCUGGGAGAGCCUGGAGAUGUCUGCAGCCCUGGCCAGCAGCUUGACUGCAACCUGGUGAGAGACUGAGGCAGAACCAUUCAUCUAGAGCAUUCCUGGAUUCCUGAUGCUCAAAACCUUUGAGGUUUGAGAUAAUAAAUACUUCUUGUUUUAAACUGCUAAAUUUUGGGAUAAUUUGCUGUGCAGCAAUAGAUAUCAUAUAGAGAUUUUGGUACUGGGUUGAGUGCUGCUGUAACAGCUUGAACAUGUGGGAGCGGCAUUAGAACUGGGCCAUAGACUUUGAGAAGAGUGCAGUAAAAGCCUAAAGUGCCUUGAAAAAGUUGUUAAUAGAAGCCUCGGGCCUUUGAAAAGGCUGCUGUGAAGGCAUAAAAGAAAGUGAGGUAAAUACUAUUAGAACCCGGAGGAAGAGGAGUUCUUGUUAUGUUGUGGUGCAAAGUUUAGCAACCCUGUUGCCUGCAGUAAAGUAGAAAGCAGAAAAUGUGUCUAAUGAAUUGGGUGAUCUAGUUAAGGAUUUUUCCAAGAAAAGUGUUGAAGUGGCAUCUUCCUGCUGCUUAUAGUAAAAUGCCAGAGGAGAGAGGGAAACCAAAAGCAGCACUUCUCAAGCGAGAGUGAUGUGGGCUCCAGGAGGCCAUUUGGCAAUGUCCAGAGAUACUCUUGCUUGUCACAACUGGAGAGGUUACUAUUGGCAUCUAGUCAAUAGAGGCCAAGGAUGCUGCUAAAUAUCCUAUAAUGCACAAGACAAACCCUCUCACUACCACUGCCUCCCCUGACAUCAAAGAAUUUUCCUGCCCAAAAUGUCAAUAGUGCUGAGGUUGAGAAACCCAGAACUAAUAGGAGGGACUGUUAAACAUGAAGGAGCCAAGACUUCAUGGCAGAAAAUUCUCAGUCUCUCCAAAUGGCAAGUGAUGGUAAAAUUAAGAAAUGGUUUCCUAGCAAAGCUCAAAUUCAGAGUAUUACUAGGAAAACAUGAUCCAAAAAUGAAACUGAGAAGGUGCCUAUAAAAUCUUUUGUUUACAUCUCAGAAAGAUUUAAGGCAAUGCCUCAGAGUACUAUUUAGUCAGAUAAAAGACCUCUAAAGAAAUUAUAGGUGUGCCUCACAGAUGCUGUGAAUCAAAUAAUAGGCAUUCUAGAAAGCUUAAAGGUGAUGUCCUGUAGCCAUUUCAGCAGAAGCCUAAUGUAGUGAAGGGCUUGUCUCAAAGAAAUUGUGGGCAUGGUUUUUGUCUAAUAGAGUAGACCUUUUUUAUUCACGAAAUUCAGAGUGAUCCACAAGUUCUUAAAAUGAUUAUGUAUCCAGAAACAUCUCCAGCUUGGACUUAUAUGGAUGAAGAGAGUAUAAAAUAAAAAGAGGGCUUCCAGUUCAGAACAAGAUGGAGUAGAUGCAUUCCUCUCUAGACUUCCCACUAAGUACAGCUGAAAGUGCUGGACAACACAUAAAACAAACAUCAAAAGGCAGACCAUCCAGGAACCCCAGUGCUCAAAUGAUACAGCAGUGAGUCCCUGGGCUUUCUUUUUGCUAGGGUGCUGGCAAAGCCUGCAACCCUGGAACUACCAAAGAGCCAUAGACAAAAAUUGCCCCUAUGAAAAGCCUGUUCUCUCUUGUCAGAGGACUCAGAAAGGGGCACUCCAGCAAGACAGAAAUCUUUUGACCUUAAAUGCCCCACUCUAGCAAAAUCUCAGUCCCAACCUCCAUGAGCAAAGGCAGAGGGGAAAGCCUAGACUUUAACGUUUGUCUUGUGGCAACAGGCACCUCUCCCCCUUACCUCCGGGUGGUGGUGGAGGAGGCUGAGUGGGGAACCUGGGCUUCAUCCCUGCCCAGCAGCAGUGAGGCAACCAUCCCUUUCCCCUACAGGCUGGUGUCGGGGGUGGGGGGGGCGCCAUUUGCGAAGCCUGGACUUUCACUCCCACCUGGUGAUAAGGAGUUGGUGCCCCUAUCUCACUGGCCCAGGUCAGCAGAGGCCUACUAAAACAGAGAAUUAAAUGAGAUCCAGAGUCUCAUAACAUAAUUUCUGAAAUGUCCAGGUUAUAAAUGAAAAUAACUCAC